CUCUCUCUCCCUCUGGUUCUAUUUCUCCAUCCCUCUCUCCUUUGCUUUCCUUCUGUAGCAGGAGGAGCUGCAGACAAAACCCCUCAGACACCGAGUUGUAGAAGGAAGGGCUUUAUUCAGCUGGGAGCAUCAGCAGACUCACGUCUCCAAAAACUGAGCUCUCCUAGUGAGCAAUUCCUGUCCCUCUUAAGGGCUUACAACUCUAAGGGGGUCCGCGUGAGAGGGUCGUGAUGGAUUGAGGAAGCAGAGGACAACGAGAGCGAAACCACAGAGAAAAGAAACAUCCCGUGCAUCACGGCCUGACAAUGGAUUCCUGUUUCCUGUACAAUGUGGAGUCUCCAAUAUAGCCUGUUUGAAAACUGGAAAGGAGAGCACCGACACGAUGCUGGUCUUCCACGCAUUCCUGGAAGUUUCUGGGGCCCCACAGAGCUCGCGAAACAAACAGUCAACAUGGUCACGCUUUCGGGGGGCAGAAACUUGAGCAACAGGCACCUUUACAGAGGGCAAAGAAACGUGGAAUCCAGAAUCACGCUUCAGUUGGCCUGGGUGUGACUCCUGUGUGGAUGGGACUAUCUGCCUCGAGCUCUGUUGCAGGGCUCAACGUGGGGAUAUGUCAUCUGUGAACCAUGUGGAUGAAAAACAGACAACUACCUGAGUCUCGGCUCAUUGCUCUCUGGGGAAUUCGCUCAUUCCUUCGGAAACGGAAUUGGUCUGAAUUGCUCCGGGAUGAAGUAACCCAGGCUGGUGAUCCAGAGGGCCGCUGAGCGCCCCGCCGGCCAACGGGGCUGUGGGCCCAGCACUCAGCCUGUACUGGGCACCCAACAUAUUCCCGGAGUUCUGGGUCCUGUUGGUUCUGGAGGCAUAAGACAUUUUUUGUCUCUGCCUUCUGUUCUCUGUUUCUUGCUCCUUUUGUCUCUCCGUCCAUCCUUCCAUCUGUUCUACCCUCCCUCCCCUGGCUUUUUCCUCCCUUUCUCCCUCCCUCCCUCUUUCUCUCCCUUCCGGGGUCCCUCCUUCCACCCAUCCUUGCCUAGCUCCAUCCUUCCAUCUCACUCUGUCUCUGUUCCUGUCCUCAUCUCUGCCUGCCUUCCCUCUUGCCUGGAAAGGGCAGCACCCUGGUUUGCGCGAGGUCUCGGGUCUUUAUUUAGUUGUAAGGCGCUCUAUGGUGCUGGCGAGGAGGCUGGCGGGACACGGGUUGGCAAGUGAUGGUGAGCGAAGAGGCGGAGGAGUUGAGCCACAGAAAGGAGAACUGGCCUGGAUUCUGCCCCGGCCCAGUGUUUCGCGGACUGAGGUCUCCGCCAACCCGAUUGAAGAACGCGGGGGGGAAAGGGAGGAGAGCUCCGCCUGGGCUAGUUAGAAGACUAGGCUGCUGCCUGGAAACCCGCGCAUGCGCAGUAGACAGCCCACCUCCCUGUACCUGGACCGGCCCUGGGAUCCCCGGGAUGCUCAGGAAUGCUUUCUUUUCAUUGUUGACAGCCCUACUCUGUGUGGAGUCUCUCGCUGGACCUGGAACUCAGGGAUCCUAGGGAGGUCAGCUGGAAGGGAAGACACGCCUCUCCAUACCAAGCCUGAGGUUCACUGCAAAAGAGAGGCCGCCGC
rnacentral:lncRNA from 10 species